rnacentral:antisense_RNA from 1 species
AAAUUGACUCAGCGCCAGGUCUGCUGCAGUUUGCUGGAGGUCCGCUCCAGACCCUAUGUACCUGGAUAUCACCAGCGGAGGCUGCAGAAUAGCAAAGAUUGCUUCCUGGUCCUUCCUCUGGAAGCUUCAUCCCAGAGGGGCACUGGCCUGAUGUCAGCUGGAGCUCUCCUGUAUGAGCCUCCGGUAAGCACCAUUUUACUCUCUACCUCCAUGAGAUCAACUUUUUUAGCUCCCACAUUUGGUGCUCCAUCUAUACCAGGUUGCUACUUCAUGUUUGGACUUGGAUGAAACAGCAUACUAUAAGGCAUGAAACCUGGCUUCCUGAGUGGCAGCUGAGAGGAGAGAUGUAGCUGAACCAAUCAGCUACAACGUCAUUCCAGUGUCCAUACUUACAUAGUGGAAAAUCCUCUAAAGCCCACUUCUGAGAGAACACUAAUUUCUAGAUUUCACAUUUCCCGAAUCCCGUAUAAGAUCAGUUCUUUCUUGGU